GUAGGUGGCAAGCGUUGUCCGGAAUUAUUGGGGCGUAAAGCGCGCGCAGGCGGGUUUUUUAAGUCUGAUGUGAAAGCCCACGGCUCAACCGUGGAGGGUCAUUGGAAACUGGAGAACUUGAGUGCAGAAGAGGAGAGCGGAAUUCCACGUGUAGCGGUGAAAUGCGUAGAGAUGUGGAGGAACACCAGUGGCGAAGGCGGCUCUCUGGUCUGUAACUGACGCUGAGGCGCGAAAGCGUGGGGAGCAAACAGGAUUAGAUACCCUGGUAGUCCACGCCGUAAACGAUGAGUGCUAAGUGUUAGAGGGUUUCCGCCCUUUAGUGCUGCAGCAAACGCAUUAAGCACUCCGCCUGGGGAGUACGGUCGCAAAGACUGA
rnacentral:rRNA from 1 species